AUUGAACGCUGGCGGCAGGCCUAACACAUGCAAGUCGAGCGAGCGGCGGACGGGUGAGUAAUGUAUGGGGAUCUGCCUGAUGGCGGGGGAUAACUACUGGAAACGGUAGCUAAUACCGCAUACCAUCGGAUGAACCCAUAUGGGAUUAGCUAGUAGGUAGGGUAACGGCUCACCUAGGCGACGAUCCCUAGCUGGUCUGAGAGGAUGAUCAGCCACACUGGGACUGAGACACGGCCCAGACUCCUACGGGAGGCAGCAGUGGGGAAUAUUGCACAAUGGGCGCAAGCCUGAUGCAGCCAUGCCGCGUGUAUGAAGAAGGCCUUCGGGUUGUAAAGUACUUUCAGCCGGGAGGCGUUACCCGCAGAAGAAGCACCGGCUAACUCCGUGCCAGCAGCCGCGGUAAUUC
rnacentral:rRNA from 1 species